rnacentral:tRNA from 1 species
GCAUAAUUGUCUAAUGGAUAGGAAAGAGGUCUUCUAAACCUUUGAUAUAGGUUCAAAUCCUAUUUGACGCA